AGUGAACGCUGGCGGUAGGCCUAACACAUGCAAGUCGAACGGCAGCACAGUAAGAGCUUGCUCUUACGGGUGGCGAGUGGCGGACGGGUGAGGAAUACAUCGGAAUCUACUUUUUCGUGGGGGAUAACGUAGGGAAACUUACGCUAAUACCGCAUACGACCUACGGGUGAAAGCAGGGGAUCUUCGGACCUUGCGCGAUUGAAUGAGCCGAUGUCGGAUUAGCUAGUUGGCGGGGUAAAGGCCCACCAAGGCGACGAUCCGUAGCUGGUCUGAGAGGAUGAUCAGUCACACUGGAACUGAGACACGGUCCAGACUCCUACGGGAGGCAGCAGUGGGGAAUAUUGGACAAUGGGCGCAAGCCUGAUCCAGCCAUACCGCGUGGGUGAAGAAGGCCUUCGGGUUGUAAAGCCCUUUUGUUGGGAAAGAAAAGCAGCAGGUUAAUACCCCGCUGUUCUGACGGUACCAAAAGAAUAAGCACCGGCUAACUUCGUG
rnacentral:rRNA from 1 species